UGUGAGAGGGUCGUGGCUGAAUCCCA
rnacentral:piRNA from 1 species